rnacentral:lncRNA from 1 species
CCAUAUCUGGGGGUCCCAACCCCAUAUUUUGGGGUCCUGCCCCACACUUGGGGGGCUGACACAAAUCCAUGAGUCCUGACCCACACUUAUGGGGCUGCCCUACAACUGGGGGGUGACCCACACUUGGGGGUCCCGACCCACACUUGGGGGUCC